GACGAACGCUGGCGGCGUGCUUAACACAUGCAAGUCGAACGGAAAGGCCCUGCUUUUGUGGGGUGCUCGAGUGGCGAACGGGUGAGUAACACGUGAGUAACCUUCCCUUUACUUUGGGAUAACUUCAGGAAACUGGGGCUAAUACCGGAUAGGAGCUCCUGCUGCAUGGUGGUGGUUGGAAAUUUUCGGCGGUUGGGGAUGGACUCGCGGCUUAUCAGCUUGUUGGUGGGGUAGUGGCUUACCAAGGCUUUGACGGGUAGCCGGCCUGAGAGGGUGACCGGCCACAUUGGGACUACGAUACGGACCAGACGCCUACGGGAGGCAGCAGUGGGGAAUAUUGCACAAUGGGCGGAAGCGUGAUGCAGCAACGUCGCGUGCGGGAUGACGGCCUUCGGGUUGUAAACCGCUUUCGCCUGUGACGAAGCGUGAGUGACGGUAAUGGGUAAAGAAGCACCGGCUAACUACGUG
rnacentral:rRNA from 1 species